UCUUCUACUCUUGCCUGCCAGUGAAGGAGUCUAAAAAGUCUGUGGAACGGAGACCUAAUGGCAAACACAAAUGUGAUGCACCUGCAUCUAAAGGUGUAGAAUCAAACCAAGACAAGGUUUUACCAAGAAUAUCAAAGAAAUAAAUUGCAUACAUAUCUAAAAAUGAAAAACAUACCCCAAAUUUGCAAAAUACCUUUGAGCUGUUGAGAUUUUAUUGUUUUAUUCCUCAGUGAUAAUGUAGGUUUUUCAUCAAUGACAUACUCCAUUUUCAUCUUGGUUGAAAAUAGUAACAGGCAGAUUACCACUUCCAUCCCAGGACUUUCAAAGGCACAAAAGGAGGCUAAGGAAAAGAGGAGUUUCACCUUAUUCCUGAUCCACUGGAUGUGCAGUGCCUGCACAAAGAGGGAAUAUGCAGAAGUGACUCUUUGUAACCAGUGAAGACAAUACUGAUAAGGAAUUUUCAAAAUUAAUUUGCUUUUUGGUCUUGCUAGUCUAGAAGCAAGAUAAAAUUGCUGGAGGUUUAUUGGGUACCCUACUCUGUGCUAUUACAAACUCUUUGAGUGCUGAGGAGCAAAUCCUCAAAUGCACGCAUCAAACUGCACACUGCCAUCAUCAGACCCAGCACUCUACUUACAGAGCUAGCAGAAUUGCAUUUUGCAGGCCUGUACACCAAGAUGACACUGGGCCAGCCUGUCUAUUUGUGUUUGUUUAUUUAAUGUCCCUUGGGAAAGACAGGACUUCCUAUGGGAUAUGGCCAUGUGAGAAAGGGAAAGGGAGCUGUGUUAAGAAAAACACUAUAGAUGAGCACUUACUUGACUAUUUCAGCUGAACAUUUUCAGACAGCUCCCUUAAGUCACAGCUGUUUGUUACAAGUCAGAUUAUUUUUCCUUAUUGAAAGGCUCUAUGACAAAUCUGAAAGCAGCUUAAAUCUUAAUGCAAUAUUGAUAUAUCAUUUACAUGUUUUGUUUUCAGCAAACUCCAAGUAAGUCAGAGUCAAAUGGAGUGUUACUUCUGGAAAACAUUACCUGUUAAUUUAGUAUGGUAAUGUGGGAAGUUUUUUCCUGCAUGAAAAAAGAAAUCCUUUGUGCCAAAUGCAGUUAGAUCUUUUUCAGGUUUCGUAAGACCAACCAAAACUGAGAACUAUUUAUGUGAGAGUAAAGAAACCUGUAUAACAAGUAUCCCAUUGUUUUACUAGACAGAGAAACAAGAAUUUAUAGCAACCUAAGGCAUGAAUUAUGUAUCACUUACGGCUUAUGUAGUGGUGAUUUUGGAGAUAAAGGUUUUCCAUUAUUAAGUGCAAA